UCUUUCCCCUUGUCUCAAGUUUUCAAAUCCACCGUUAUAAAAGGAUGAGUCACCUAGCCUAAAGUUAUAAGUCACCUAGCUUAAGGGAUCCUCCCUAAUCAAUCUGAUUUUAUUAGAGCUAAGGAAAGUGGGAUGAAUGGAGGAGACAGUAAGAGGGAGAAGAAGAGGAAGAAGCUUGGAGAUGUUCUUGAUUUGGUAUUGAAAGUUGACCUUGAGGGUUUUAAUGGUACUAUACUGGGCAUUAGAAGGCUCAUCCCCUAACAGAUUGUGCAAGAUUCAAGGCGAAGUUUGAGGAAGCGAGCUUCAACCAAGCUACUAGGCUUUUGUUGUUGAUUUGUGUAAUUAAUAUUUGUAAGUAGUCAACCAUUUGAUAAGGAUCCUAGUGUGUAUUUAACUACGAGCUACUGCGACUUUAAUUCUGUGUUAUUAAGUGAAUUUGUAUUAUUUGUGGCUC